UUUGCUCUGUUGAGUUUCUUCUGCCAUUGC
rnacentral:piRNA from 1 species